rnacentral:rRNA from 1 species
AUGAACGCUGGCGGCGUGCCUAAUCCAUGCCAGUCGCGCGAACAGACGAGGAGCUUACUCCUCUGACGUUAGCGGCGGACGGGUGAGUAACACGUGGAUAACCUACCUAUAAGACUGGGAUAACUUCGGGAAACCGGAGCUAAUACCGGAUAACAUGUUGAACCGCAUGGUUCAACAGUGAAAGACGGUCUUGCUGUCACUUAUAGAUGGAUCCGCGUCGCAUUAGCUAGUUGGUAAGGUAACGGCUUACCAAGGCAACGAUGCGUAGCCGACCUGAGAGGGUGAUCGGCCACACUGGAACUGAGACACGGUCCAGACUCCUACGGGAGGCAGCAGUAGGGAAUCUUCCGCAAUGGGCGAAAGCCUGACGGAGCAACGCCGCGUGAGUGAAGAAGGUCUUCGGAUCGUAAAACUCUGUUAUUAGGGAAGAACAAAUGUGUAAGUAACUAUGCACGUCUUGACGGUACCUAAUCAGAAAGCCACGGCUAACUACGUG